rnacentral:lncRNA from 1 species
AGAAGUCACAAAAAAGCUGGGGUAUGGCUCAGUGAGACAAUGACCCAGAUUCAUCCCUGACUCUACCCGUGUGCAAAGGCAUGGCACUCGCCCAACCCAGAGCUUUCUCUGAUCGCGUGCCACCAUCCUCUCUGUGGGGAAAAGGGGACAGACCGGUUCUGUUUCUGAGUUGCCUGGAGCUGUCAGGACACCUCCAGGAAAGACACUCAGGUUCACAGCUUGCUCAGACUGGACCUUUAUCUGCACGCAUGCUUCCCAUGCACUGAGCAGGGGUCUCACAGGGCAACCCGGAGCUCUGCCGGGUGACAAGUCUUCCGCCCUCACAGUACAACAGCUCUUCUGCUGGGUAGGAUGAGGCCAGUGUGGUGGAGCUGUCGUGUGCUACUGCCCAGUCCCUACCCACGACCUAUGCUCACGUCCAAGUGCCUCUGGUUGAUGGCAUAGAUUAUUUCCAGGUGCCGCGGAAGCAGCUUCUCAAACAUAGACACUGGCCAGCGCUCCAGGGCCUCGGGCAGCACCGUGUGGUUGGUGUAGGCACAGGUCUUCUUGGUGAUCUCCCAGGCCUACACAUUGAGAACAGCAGAUGUCACACAGACACACUGGAGCCAUGAGGGAAGGUGCUCACCCAUCCCUGCCCUCUGCUCUCCAGACAUGUCAUCAGCUCAGGCUAGUCACCACGCUAUAGACAUACACAGAUGACCCUAUCUCCUGGCCCUACGCUCUGACAGUGACCUUUUAGUUUCUCCUUUGUAGUCACUCUGCUGCUGGCCAACUAUCACACAACGUGGCAGUUUUCUGCUAGUUUCCAUUAAACUACCUGACACCCACAGUGCAGAGGACACUGGGUACCAUACGGCUUGCCACCCCACGGCAUGGCCUCAACGGGAGUGUAUACCAUUAGGCCAGAGAGGGGCUCUGGUUCCUGAAAAGGAAGAAGAAAACUGGCUUAUGGUUUCUGGUGAUCUAGUUAAAGCCAACCAAGAAGAUGAGGACCAAGGAAAAUGGAGCCUCCAGACAGUCUUCAAAUACAAACACUGUCGACUUCCAGACUUUGUCAUCAUGAUGUAGCCCAGGCUAGGUUUGAACUUGUUAUUUUCCUGCUUCUACCUCCUGAGUACUUGACACCACUACAGCCAACUAAUAGGUUCCUGAAAGCUUAACACUUCUAGAUUGUUUUCUUUCCUUGAUGUUUUGAAACAGAGUAUCACUAUGUAGCCCUGGCUGGCCAGAAACUCACUAUUAGAUGAGGCUAGCCUCAAAUUCACAGAGAUCACCUGUCCCUGCCUCCUAAGUGUUGGGAGUAAAGGCAUAUGCCACCAGGACUAGCCAAACUUCGAGCUUGUCUCUUCUGUCCCAUCAUCCUUGCCCUCACUGAGCCUGUAAACAAUAGAGCAUCCAUCUCUGAGAGCCAGACACUCUCCAGGGUGGCCUCGACACUCUCAAAGUCAAUUUCCCUGAUCUCCUGAGGCUGGGAAAAAGGCGCUAUUUCCUGGGUCUAGCUCAGCCCACCAUUACCAUGUGUGGCACAGCUUGAAGUCUAACGAGGAUGCCAUCACCCGACCCUGGUCCCAGGAGGGCACUGUCUUCCCUUUCCACACUCACCUUAUCCCAGUCCACCUUCUCCACGUCCACCAGGAUCCGCAUGAGCUCAGGGAUGGAGAGCGCGGGGUGGGUGUCAUUCAGCUGGAUGGCUACCUACAGUUCACAAGGGGUGCUAUUUAGUUCUCUCACUCCUGAUACCCAAAGUGAUGACUCAGGGUUUGAAGGAGCCAGCCUAGCAGUGCACUCUUGAGGAGCCCAGGAGCCUAAGGGGUCAGGAGGAGGAUGCUGCCUCUGCAGCCUGCUGUGAUCUGCAGCCAGCUGUCCCCUCGAGUAGCUGCAACCCAUGGGCAGAUGUGUCCCAAGAGCAGCUCUGCUCUGAGAAGGUGAAAAAGGAACUUCAGAGGCCACUUUCCCCUCAGCUCAGAUUGGCCGCUUUGUUUAGAACUGCCACGGUGAGCCUGCCACAUGCAUCAGGAGCCUUUCACAGUGACCUCUCUGCCUCCACUUUUGACACACAAGGGCUGCACUGGUUUUAGAAGUGACCCUGAGACUCAGGAAAUGAUGCCAAUUUACUCCUACCACUCCCAAACACAAGAAAGAAAGCCCCAACCCAUGACAGUGAGCUUACUCCCUUCACAGACCUUGUCUGGGAAUGUCUCGAAACAGGUUCUCACUGGGUCCCGGCAGCCAAACCUGGAAGACUUGAACCUUCGAAUGAUGUCCUGGAGGGUGGCAGCCACCACAAAGUACUCCUGCUUCAGCCGCAGCUCCUUCCCCUCGAAGAACUGCAAGGCAGCAUUGUUGGGGUACCCACCUCCAACACAAGACUCCAAGACUCUGAUGGGCCCUACAGUUGCUUGCCCCUAUAUCCCUGGGGUCAUUCUUUUUUUUUUUUUAAAGAUUUAUUUACUUUAUGUAUAACAGUACACAGUAGCUGUCCUCAGACACACCAGAAGAGGGCACUGGGUCCCAUUACAGAUGGUUGUGAGCCACUAUGUAGGUGCUGGGAACUGAAUUCAGGACUUCUGGAAGAACAGACAGUGCUCUUAACCGCUGAGCCAUCUCUCCAGCCCCCUGGGGUCAUUCUUAACCCUCCAGAGGGCCAGUUCAGGUGCCCUACUCAUGGUGGUAGGCUGGAGGCCUACAUGGUCAAAGCCAGUCCCUCUGACAGUGUGGCCUGCAAGUAUGCCUUCAGGACAGGGUCACCUAGUUACAAGGUGUCUGUCUGGUCUAUCAGUGAGGGUGACAAGUCCAGAGAUGAGCAACACAGUUACUCAGAACCAGUUCUCAAGACAGACACCAGCAGACACCCCACGCCUGAAGUUUGGGGGAGUAUCUAGUCUCAAGAUAUAGGAACAUUUGGUUUGGGUAUCCAAUACUAAUCCCUCUCUACUAUAUGCACAUAAAACUUUGAGAA